rnacentral:rRNA from 1 species
AGCGAACGCUGGCGGCAUGCUUAACACAUGCAAGUCGCACGGGCAGGGGUAACUCUGUCAGUGGCGGACGGGUGAGUAACGCGUAGGUAUCUAUCCUUGGGUGGGGGACAACUGUGGGAAACUACAGCUAAUACCGCAUAAUAACUGAGGUUUAAAGGCGCAAGUCGCCUGGGGAGGAGCCUGCGUACGAUUAGCUAGUUGGUGGGGUAAAGGCCUACCAAGGCUGCGAUCGUUAGCUGGUCUGAGAGGAUGAUCAGCCACAUUGGGACUGAGACACGGCCCAAACUCCUACGGGAGGCUG